rnacentral:lncRNA from 1 species
GUAUGAUAUAAACCUCAUGGAUCUGACAUUGGACUGUUUUCUGCUAGUACAGCUGAUGAUGAUUGCCACUGAUAAGAGUAUAUGAGUAUCUAGAUGAUACUUAUGGGACAACUGGAGGCUAGGCCUGAUGAUUGACUUAGAUAACCUCCUUAGAGUACCUACAUUGUGACCAUAAAGUACUGUGCCCAUGGGAAAACUUUGCGGUCCUGAGGCAAAAGAUAAACUUCACGCUUGAUAAAAAAUACAACCAAAAGGGCAACACCCGGGGCGCUAAAAUAUGGCUGAGCAAUAUUCCACAUGUUCUUUAUCCAUCCCUCUGUCAAUGGACAUUUAGCUUGCUUCCAUGUUUUGGCUAUUGUAAAAAUUGCUGCAAUGAACAUUGGGGUGCAUGUAUCUUUUCAGAUUAUGGUUUUGUCUGGAUAGAUGCCCAGGAAUGGGAUUGCUUGAUCAUUUGGUAAUUCUAUUUUUAGUGUUUUGAGGAACCUCCAUAUUGUUUUCUGUAGUGAUUGUAUCAGUGUAAAGUCCCACCAACAGUUUGAGGGUUUCUUUUUCUCCACACUUUCUCCAGCAUUUAUUGUUUGUAGACAUUUUCAUGGUGGACAUUUUGGCUGGUGAAAGGUGGUAGUUUUGAUUUG